GUGUAAGUGUUUAAGGGCGCAUGGUGGAUGCCUUGGCACUGGGAGCCGAUGAAGGACGUGGGAGGCUGCGAUAUGCCUCGGGGAGUUGUCAACCGAGCGUGGAUCCGAGGAUGUCCGAAUGGGGAAACCCGGCACGAGUGAUGUCGUGUCACCCAACGCUGAAUGUAUAGGCGUUGGGGGGGAACGCGGGGAAGUGAAACAUCUCAGUACCCGUAGGAAGAGAAAACAAAGAGUGAUUCCGUUAGUAGUGGCGAGCGAACGCGGAGGAUGGCUAAACCGUGUGCAUGUGAUACCCGGCGGGGGUUGUGUGUGCGGUGUUGUGGGGUCUGUGUUCCAUCAUCCGCCGAUGGUGGCAGCAGUGAUAAAAGCUCGUGUUAGGUGAAGUGGCCUGGGAUGGUCUGCCGUAGGGGGUGAGAGUCCCGUAACCGAAAACAUGUGCUCUGUUGUCGCAGUGUCCCCGAGUAGCAGCGGGCCCGUGGAAUCUGCUGUGAAUCUGCCGGGACCACCCGGUAAGCCUGAAUACUUCUCAGUGACCGAUAGCGGAUCAGUACCGUGAGGGAAUGGUGAAAAGUACCCCGGGAGGGGAGUGAAAGAGUACCUGAAACCGUGUGCCUACAAUCCGUCAGAGCCCUCCACUUUGUGGUGGGGUGAUGGCGUGCCUUUUGAAGAAUGAGCCUGCGAGUCAGGGACAUGUCGCGAGGUUAACCCGGGUGGGGUAGCCGCAGCGAAAGCGAGUCUGAAUAGGGCGUAUCCACACAGCAGUGUGUGGUGUAGUGGUGUGUUCUGGACCCGAAGCGGAGUGAUCUACCCAUGGCCAGGGUGAAGCGCGGGUAAGACCGCGUGGAGGCCCGAACCCACUUAGGUUGAAGACUGAGGGGAUGAGCUGUGGGUAGGGGUGAAAGGCCAAUCAAACUCCGUGAUAGCUGGUUCUCCCCGAAAUGCAUUUAGGUGCAGCGUCGCAUGGUUCACACCGGAGGUAGAGCUACUGGAUGGCCGAUGGGCCCUACUAGGUUACUGACGUCAGCCAAACUCCGAAUGCCGGUGUGGUGUAGUGCGGCAGUGAGACGGCGGGGGAUAAGCUCCGUGCGUCGAAAGGGAAACAGCCCAGAUCGCCGGCUAAGGCCCCUAAGCGUGUGCUAAGUGGAAAAGGAUGUGCAGUCGCAAAGACAACCAGGAGGUUGGCUUAGAAGCAGCCACCCUUGAAAGAGUGCGUAAUAGCUCACUGGUCAAGUGAUUGUGCGCCGAUAAUGUAGCGGGGCUCAAGCACACCGCCGAAGCCGCGGCAGCCAAGCGUUGCUUGGUUGGGUAGGGGAGCGUCCUGCAUCCGGUGAAGCAGCGAAGUGAUUCAGCUGUGGAGGGUGUGGGAGUGAGAAUGCAGGCAUGAGUAGCGAUAAGGCAAGUGAGAACCUUGCCCGCCGGAAGACCAAGGGUUCCUGGGCCAGGCCAGUCCGCCCAGGGUGAGUCGGGACCUAAGGCGAGGCCGACAGGCGUAGUCGAUGGACAACGGGUUGAUAUUCCCGUACCCGUGUAUGAGCGUCCCUGACGAAUCCAUACCGCUAACCACCCAAAAGGUCGGUGAUCGUCUCCUUUUAGGAGUCGACAUCGACCGGCUGCGUGGGACCCGUGUGGGUAGUAGUCAAGCGAUGGGGUGACGCAGGAAGGUAGCCGUACCAGUCAGUGGUAAUACUGGGGCAAACCGGUAGGGAGAAACCUAGGCAAAUCCGGGUUUUUCAUAUCCUGAGAGGUGAUGCAUAGCCGAGUGAGGCGAAUUCGGUGAUCCUAUGCUGUCGAGAAAAGCCUCUAGCGAGUCCAUACACGGCCCGUACCCCAAACCAACACAGGUGGUCAGGUAGAGAAUACCGAGGCGUACGAGUGAACUAUGGUUAAGGAACUCGGCAAAAUGCCCCCGUAACUUCGGGAGAAGGGGGACCCCCACACCGUCAAGGCCCUCGCGGCCGGCAGCGGUAGGGGGUGGCACAAACCAGUGAGAAGCGACUGUUUACUAAAAACACAGGUCCGUGCGAAGUCGCAAGACGAGGUAUACGGACUGACGCCUGCCCGGUGCUGGAAGGUUAAGAGGACCCGUCAACCCGCAAGGGUGAAGCGGAGAAUUUAAGCCCCAGUAAACGGCGGUGGUAACUAUAACCAUCCUAAGGUAGCGAAAUUCCUUGUCGGGUAAGUUCCGACCUGCACGAAUGGCGUAACGACUUCUCAGCUGUCUCAACCAUAGACUCGGCGAAAUUGCAUUACGAGUAAAGAUGCUCGUUACGCGCGGCAGGACGAAAAGACCCCGGGACCUUCACUACAACUUGGUAUUGGUGCUCGAUACGGUUUGUGUAGGAUAGGUGGGAGACUGUGAAACUCACACGCCAGUGUGGGCGGAGUCGUUGUUGAAAUACCACUCUGAUCGUAUUGGGCCUCUAACCUCGAACCGUCUAUCCGGUUCAGGGACAGUGCCUGGCGGGUAGUUUAACUGGGGCGGUUGCCUCCUAAAAAGUAACGGAGGCGCCCAAAGGUUCCCUCAACCUGGACGGCAAUCAGGUGUUGAGUGUAAGUGCACAAGGGAGCUUGACUGCGAGACGAACAUGUCAAGCAGGGACGAAAGUCGGGACUAGUGAUCCGGCACCCCCGAGUGGAAGGGGUGUCGCUCAACGGAUAAAAGGUACCCCGGGGAUAACAGGCUGAUCUUCCCCAAGAGUCCAUAUCGACGGGAUGGUUUGGCACCUCGAUGUCGGCUCGUCGCAUCCUGGGGCUGGAGCAGGUCCCAAGGGUUGGGCUGUUCGCCCAUUAAAGCGGCACGCGAGCUGGGUUUAGAACGUCGUGAGACAGUUCGGUCUCUAUCCGCCGCGCGCGUCAGAAGCUUGAGGAAACCUGUCCCUAGUACGAGAGGACCGGGACGGACGAACCUCUGGUACACCAGUUGUCCCACCAGGGGCACCGCUGGAUAGCCACGUUCGGACAGGAUAACCGCUGAAAGCAUCUAAGCGGGAAACCCCCUCCAAGACCAGGCUUCUCACCCAUACCAGUGGGAUAAGGCCCCCCGCAGACCACGGGAUCGAUAGACCAGACCUACACACCCAGCAAUGGGCGCAGGGAACUGGCACUAACCGGCCGAAAACUUACACACAC
rnacentral:rRNA from 1 species